AUUGAACGCUGGCGGCAGGCUUAACACAUGCAAGUCGAGCGGAGAUGAGGUGCUUGCACCUUAUCUUAGCGGCGGACGGGUGAGUAAUGCUUAGGAAUCUGCCUAUUAGUGGGGGACAACAUUCCGAAAGGAAUGCUAAUGCCGCAUACGCCCUACGGGGGAAAGCAGGGGAUCUUCGGACCUUGCGCUGAUAGAAGAGCCUAAGUCGGAUUAGCUAGUUGGUGGGGUAAAGGCCUACCAAGGCGACGAUCUGUAGCGGGUCUGAGAGGAUGAUCCGCCACACUGGGACUGAGACACGGCCCAGACUCCUACGGGAGGCAGCAGUGGGGAAUAUUGGACAAUGGGCGGAAGCCUGAUCCAGCCAUGCCGCGUGUGUGAAGAAGGCCUUUUGGUUGUAAAGCACUUUAAGCGAGGAGGAGGCUACCUGGAUUAAUACUCUAGGAUAGUGGACGUUACUCGCAGAAUAAGCACCGGCUAACUCUGUGCCAGCAGCCGCAGUAAAAC
rnacentral:rRNA from 1 species